rnacentral:rRNA from 1 species
AUUGAACGCUGGCGGCAGGCCUAACACAUGCAAGUCGAGCGGAUGAAGGGAGCUUGCUCCUGGAUUCAGCGGCGGACGGGUGAGUAAUGCCUAGGAAUCUGCCUGGUAGUGGGGGAUAACGUCCGGAAACGGGCGCUAAUACCGCAUACGUCCUGAGGGAGAAAGUGGGGGAUCUUCGGACCUCACGCUAUCAGAUGAGCCUAGGUCGGAUUAGCUAGUUGGUGGGGUAAAGGCCUACCAAGGCGACGAUCCGUAGCUGGUCUGAGAGGAUGAUCAGUCACACUGGAACUGAGACACGGUCCAGACUCCUACGGGAGGCAGCAGUGGGGAAUAUUGGACAAUGGGCGAAAGCCUGAUCCAGCCAUGCCGCGUGUGUGAAGAAGGUCUUCGGAUUGUAAAGCACUUUAAGUUGGGAGGAAGGGCAGUAAGAUAAUACCUUGCUGUUUUGACGUUACCAACAGAAUAAGCACCGGCUAACUUCGUG